UACGUAGGUGGCAAGCGUUGUCCGGAAUUAUUGGGCGUAAAGCGCGCGCAGGCGGCCUCUUAAGUCUGAUGUGAAAGCCCCCCGGCUCAACCGGGGAGGGCCAUUGGAAACUGGGAGGCUUGAGUAUAGGAGAGAAGAGUGGAAUUCCACGUGUAGCAGUGAAAUGCGUAGAGAUCGGGAGGAACAUCAGUUGCGAAGGCGGCUCUCUGGACCAGCACUGACACUGAGGCACGAAAGCGUGGGGAGCAAACAGGA
rnacentral:rRNA from 1 species